rnacentral:rRNA from 1 species
UACGUAGGGUGCAAGCGUUGUCCGGAAUUAUUGGGCGUAAAGAGCUCGUAGGCGGUCUGUCGCGUCGGCUGUGAAAUCCCGAGGCUCAACCUCGGGUCUGCAGUCGAUACGGGCAAACUAGAGUAUUGCAGGGGAGACUGGAAUUCCUGGUGUAGCGGUGAAAUGCGCAGAUAUCAGGAGGAACACCGGUGGCGAAGGCGGGUCUCUGGGCCACUACUGACGCUGAGAAGCGAAAGCGUGGGGAGCAAACAGG